CAUAGGUUAAUGAGGCGAACCGGGGGAACUGAAACAUCUAAGUACCCCGAGGAAAAGAAAUCAACCGAGAUUCCCCCAGUAGCGGCGAGCGAACGGGGAGGAGCCCAGAGCCUGAAUCAGUGUGUGUGUUAGUGGAAGCGUCUGGAAAGGCGCGCGAUACAGGGUGACAGCCCCGUACACAAAAAUGCACAUACUGUGAGCUCGAUGAGUAGGGCGGGACACGUGGUAUCCUGUCUGAAUAUGGGGGGACCAUCCUCCAAGGCUAAAUACUCCUGACUGACCGAUAGUGAACCAGUACCGUGAGGGAAAGGCGAAAAGAACCCCGGCGAGGGGAGUGAAAAAGAACCUGAAACCGUGUACGUACAAGCAGUGGGAGCCUCUUAAUGGGGUGACUGCGUACCUUUUGUAUAAUGGGUCAGCGACUUAUAUUCUGUAGCAAGGUUAACCGAAUAGGGGAGCCGAAGGGAAACCGAGUCUUAACUGGGCGUUAAGUUGCAGGGUAUAGACCCGAAACCCGGUGAUCUAGCCAUGGGCAGGUUGAAGGUUGGGUAACACUAACUGGAGGACCGAACCGACUAAUGUUGAAAAAUUAGCGGAUGACUUGUGGCUGGGGGUGAAAGGCCAAUCAAACCGGGAGAUAGCUGGUUCUCCCCGAAAGCUAUUUAGGUAGCGCCUCGUGAAUUCAUCUCCGGGGGUAGAGCACUGUUUCGGCAAGGGGGUCAUCCCGACUUACCAACCCGAUGCAAACUGCGAAUACCGGAGAAUGUUAUCACGGGAGACACACGGCGGGUGCUAACGUCCGUCGUGAAGAGGGAAACAACCCAGACCGCCAGCUAAGGUCCCAAAGUCAUGGUUAAGUGGGAAACGAUGUGGGAAGGCCCAGACAGCCAGGAUGUUGGCUUAGAAGCAGCCAUCAUUUAAAGAAAGCGUAAUAGCUCACUGGUCGAGUCGGCCUGCGCGGAAGAUGUAACGGGGCUAAACCAUGCACCGAAGCUGCGGCAGCGACGCUUAUGCGUUGUUGGGUAGGGGAGCGUUCUGUAAGCCUGUGAAGGUGGCCUGUGAGGGUUGCUGGAGGUAUCAGAAGUGCGAAUGCUGACAUAAGUAACGAUAAAGCGGGUGAAAAGCCCGCUCGCCGGAAGACCAAGGGUUCCUGUCCAACGUUAAUCGGGGCAGGGUGAGUCGACCCCUAAGGCGAGGCCGAAAGGCGUAGUCGAUGGGAAACAGGUUAAUAUUCCUGUACUUGGUGUUACUGCGAAGGGGGGACGGAGAAGGCUAUGU
rnacentral:rRNA from 1 species